GCCGCGGCUGGGCCCGAGGCGAGCCGCCCGCUUCGCGCGAGCCCCGCGCCGGCGCCGAUUUCACACCCUGCCUGCACAGGCGGGUCCAUCGGGAGCACGUUUCGAGUUUUCCACAAAGCCAGCCAGCGGUCAUCCGGAGGAGCAGACUGCACAGCGGAGCCACGUGUUGCCAUCGUUGCGUCUUAAAGGAUGGGGACGUCAGGAGAGGGCUGGCGUUGCCCAAGGAGCAAAUCGGGAGGAGCUAUUACGUCUUUCUUACUAUACUCCAUGCUUCUCCCGGAAUAAGGUAAUACCGGCAGAAGGCUCUUAAGAGCGGACACUUCUCGCCACGGCUGCAGUAAUUUCUCUGCCAGCAAACCAGGCCCAGUGUCACGUCUCUGUUCCUCAGUGGGGCUUAAGGGAGCAAAGCUUCUCAGGCCCUUCCUCCAGGCAGGCGGUUAGCAAACAAGCCUCCCAUGCGGGUCCUGGACUGCACCACCACGGGCUCCCAGGACGCCGACAGGGACCCACUCCACAGCUCUUGCUGGGAAUCGCCAGAGCUGUCACCCUGAGCCCAGGCAAGCAUCACGGUCAACCUCCUGCCCUGACUCCCUGCGAGCCACCAGGGCCCUCUGCUCCAGCCACGCUUGCAGGUGACACCUCCAGGCAAAGCCAAGCCAGGAGAUGAACCUGUGCUGCACAGCCAAGUCCCUCCAGGUGGAGGAGAUGGGGACAUAUGCCCUCCCCAGGUGACAGCGCAUGAGGCUGGCUCAGUUGCCCAAGUUUUUGAUUAGAGGCCAGGCCUUCUGUGGCCCUCACCCUGUCUUCUCCAUCAACACAACUCUCUCUGCCAGCCGGCUGGCCUUAUCUUAUCAUUUCUUGACAAAGUUAUUACACUUUAUAAAGGUAACUCGGUUGACAUAAUACACUUAGACAUCUCUAAGGCGCUGGAGUUGGCCGUGCAGAACGCGUUAAUUAAAAUGAGCGUUGUUUCAACAUCAAUAAGGCGUAGAUCAAACGGGAUUAACCCCAGCUGACAUCAGCUGACAGCGAA